rnacentral:rRNA from 1 species
GAGCUCAGCGCAGAACCUCCCGGGCCUAACAGCCUGCGGCGGAAUGUUGCGUUAAGGGAGAGGUCGCAUUGCAAACCCCACAGCCACGCGAUCGCUAAGUCCUGCCACGAGUGGCGUUCCCGACGAAAGGAGGGAUUGUGGCGCCAUGGAGGGUGACAGUCCCGUGUGGACGCGUGCGAUUGCUGUGCUUGGGUAUGACCUUCUCCCUGUGAGUCGCGUUGCUUGCACAUGCAGCGCUAAGCAGGUCGUAAACUCGAUCUAAGGCUAAAUAUAUCCACAGAACCGAUAGUGAACAAGUACCGUAAGGGAAAGUUGAAAAGAACUCUGGAGAGAGAGUCAAAAGACCGUGAAACCGCUCAGAGUAUAAGCCGAUGGCACUAGAAGGCAACCGGUGGCAUGGCGACCCAGGCUUCGGCAGGGGUCGUCCAAAAUGUCUGAGAAUUGGGUAGUUGGAGAAGUAGCAUUGAGUUGCUGAUCCAUCAGGCGGUCCUGUUCAUGAGCGAACACAAGUGGUGUCGUUCCGCUGGCGGGGCCGUGCUGGACGACUCUCUCGAGGCAUCACACGGUAAUUGCCCACCACAGCUCGUUGCUUGGUCACCCGUUGGGUCUAAAUGGCAGAAGCUUCAUCCAGUUUGCGGAACUUGAGGCGCUGGGCUGGGCGAUGUGCCGCACGCUGCUCGUGCGCGCACACGUCCGCGCCGUUCCCGCAUCCUGGCUCUGACUGCCGACACGGACGUGGUGUGAUCCAUGGCGACGAAGCUGCAAUUGGCCAGACAUUUGUAAUCCCAACCCUCUCGCCAUGUGCCGGCGGGAGGGUACCUGCGGGCAGGCUGCUUGCGUCGCAUGCGCAGUAUACGCUCAGCCUGGGGUUGGUCUGAUUGGUGAUGCUCUAGUGACCAUCGGUCACGUCUCGAAACACGGGCCAAGGAGUAUAGCAUGUGUGCAAGUCUAAGGGUCUCACAAAACCCGAGGGCGAAGUGAAAGCAAAGGUGUGGCGGCGCUUGCGCCGUCAACCGCAAUGGUUGCUAGUACCGAGCUGAUCCUGUGUCCCACGUUGGGGGCAGGCGCAAGCUCCGGGCUCACAGGCUUGUUCGGCAAACUUCCUCCUUGUGGGGUUGUGAGCUGGACAGUGAGCACCGCGGAGCAUGCAUGCUAUGACCCGAAAGAUAGUGAACUAUGCCUGGCGAGGGUGAAGCCCCAGGAAACUGGGGUGGAGGCCCGUAGCCGUUGUGACGUGCAAAUCCAUGGCG